GCCGGCGUAGCUCAGCGGUAGAGCGGCUGAUUCGUAAUCAGCAGGUCGUGGGUUCAAAUCCCACCGCCGGCUCCA
rnacentral:tRNA from 1 species